rnacentral:rRNA from 1 species
CCUACGGGUGGCUGCAGUCGAGAAUCUUGGGCAAUGCACGAAAGUGUGACCCAGCGACGCCGCGUGAAGGAUGAAGGCCCUCUGGGUUGUAAACUUCUUUUAAGGGGAAAGAAUGGGCUUCGGCCUUUGACGGUACCCUUUGAAUAAGCCACGGCUAACUACGUGCCAGCAGCCGCGGUAAUACGUAGGUGGCAAGCGUUGUCCGGAUUUACUGGGCGUAAAGCGAACGCAGGCGGACUAUUAAGUAAGAAGUGAAAGGUUGGAGCUCAACUCCG